rnacentral:rRNA from 1 species
AUUGAACGCUGGCGGCAGGCCUAACACAUGCAAGUCGAGCGGAGCGGCGGACGGGUGAGUAAUGCCUAGGAAUCUGCCUGUUAGUGGGGUAUAACGCCCGAAAACGGGCGCUAAUACCGCAUCCUAUCAGUUAAGCCUAGGUCGGAUUGGCUAGUUGGGGGGGUAAAGGCCUACCAAGGCGACGAUCCGUAACUGGUCUGAGAGGAUGAGCAGUCACACUGGGACUGAGACACGGUCCAGACUCCGACGGGAGGCAGCAGUGGGGAAUAUUGGACAAUGGGGGAAAGCCUGAGCCAGCCAUGCAGAGUGUGUGAAGAAGGUCUUCGGAGUGUAAAGCACUUUAAGUUGGGAAGCGUUACCAACAGAAUAAGCACCGGCUAACUUCGUGCCAGCAGCCGCGGUAAUUC